UCAUAGCUUAGUGGUGGAGCGUGUGGUUUUUAAUCAUAUGGUUGUGGGUUCGAUCCCCACAUAGUGAA
rnacentral:tRNA from 1 species